GGAACUUUUAAUCACCCCAGGCUAAUUUUCGCUUAUCAACCGUCGAGCGGCAGCGGGUCCUUCGGGAUGCUGGCGAGCGGCGGACGGGUGAGUAAUGCCUAGGAAUCUGCCUGGUAGUGGGGGAUAACUCGGGGAAACUCGAGCUAAUACCGCAUACGUCCUACGGGAGAAAGCGGGGGAUCUUCGGACCUCGCGCUACCAGAUGAGCCUAGGUCGGAUUAGCUAGUUGGUGAGGUAAAGGCUCACCAAGGCGACGAUCCGUAGCUGGUCUGAGAGGAUGAUCAGCCACACUGGAACUGAGACACGGUCCAGACUCCUACGGGAGGCAGCAGUGGGGAAUAUUGGACAAUGGGCGAAAGCCUGAUCCAGCCAUGCCGCGUGUGUGAAGAAGGUCUUCGGAUUGUAAAGCACUUUAAGUUGGGAGGAAGGGCAGUAAGCUAAUACCUUGCUGUUUUGACGUUACCGACAGAAUAAGCACCGGCUAACUUCGUGCCAGCAGCCGCGGUAAUACGAAGGGUGCAAGCGUUAAUCGGAAUUACUGGGCGUAAAGCGCGCGUAGGUGGUUUGAUAAGUUGGAUGUGAAAGCCCCGGGCUCAACCUGGGAAUUGCAUCCAAAACUGUCUGACUAGAGUAUGGCAAGAGGGGUGGUGGAAUUU
rnacentral:rRNA from 1 species